UACGGGGGGGUAAGCGUUGUUCGGAAUUACUGGGCUUAAAGGGCGCGUAGGCGGGUGUGUAAGUCUGCGGUGAAAUCCUCCAGCUUAACUGGAGAAGUGCCGUGGAUACUGCUCAUCUCGAGGAGGGUGAGGGGCAGUCUGGAACUUCCGGUGGAGCGGUGAAAUGCGUUGAGAUCGGAAGGAACGCCCGUGGCGAAAGCGAGGCCCUGGACCCUUACUGACGCUGAGACGCGAAAGCCAGGGGAGCGAACGGGG
rnacentral:rRNA from 1 species